GUCUGACUAAAACCCCAAAUCUAGUUCUAGGUUCCACAGUAUUCAUAAGAAAAAUUAAAUUGUUUAUAGUGUGUGGUUUUUAAAAAAUAUGUUUAAAACUUUGGAGUCAGACAAUCCUCAAUCUGUUUGUGACCUUACGAGCAUGUGAUCUCUCUGGAGCUCAAUUCCUCCAUUUAUGAAACAGGGGCCAUAGUACCCAACUCACAAGAGGAUGGUGGGACCGAAUGAGGUAAUGUCUGUCUGCAACCAAGUAGGACCCUGUUAGAUCUUGGUUUAUGCACGGUGCCAACAGCAUGUAUCAUGGGAUGCUUAGGGCAGACCAAGCAUAUAGGAGGCUUCACUGUCAUCCGAGGAGAUAUGAGGGACAAUCUGGAGCUGUGAGAAAAGUUGGCUUUGGAGGCAGAUUGAGCUUGAAUCUUGUUCAUUUCCUACUCAGCCAAUCUCUACUGAGGGCUCACUUUGUGCUGGCAAAUUUUCUAGACACCUGGGGUCCAGCAGUAAAAAAAAAAAAGACAAAAGAUCUAACUUUGUGGUGCUUUCAUUUCAGGGAAAUGAAAUGGGAUGUCUACAGUAAACAGCAGAAUAAAUCAGACCACAUCUGUGUUACAAAGAAAACUUCUGUCCCAUUUCUCUGGACCUGGUUAUUCAGUACAAUGAUGGAAAUUACAGACAAGAAAUGGAGAGAAUGGGCGAAGCCACAAAGAAAGGGAAGGAAGAAAAAGGCCAGGGAGGAGGAAGAUGCGUCUGUGACCAGAGCCCUGAGCCCAGAGUUGGCCCCCAGGAAGGAUGGGGACUGUUUAUUGAGGAUUUGCCAAUGCUGACAAGGAGCUGGAGAUCACCUGAGUAGCUUACCUGGGGGGAAAGCUGAGCAAAUGAAUUGUGAUGCAUUAAAUCCAUGGAACUAUUCUGCAACUACAUACCAAAAUGUGUUUGGUUUUGUCUAUGGAUGAGGAAAGCUAUGAUGCCUCGUCAAGAGAGAAAGGCGAGCCGUGGAUGUGUGUUGAGAGCCCCAAGCCAAAAGGCUGCCUAUGCACGUAUUUGUGAGCAGGAGAGGCGGAAGGUUAUCCUCUUCCUCCUUUAAGAAGAGGGAAAGAAGUGAAAGUGUUAGUCCCUCAGUCAUGUCCCAUGGACUCUUUGCGACCCCAUGGACUGUAGCCCGCCAGGCUCCUCUGUCCAUGGGAUUCUCCAGGCAAGAAAAAUGGAGUGGGGUGCCAUUCCCUUCUCCGGGGAUCUUUUCAAUCCAGGGAUCAAACUCAGGUCUCCUGCAUUGCAGGCUGAUUCUUUACCAUCUGAGCCACCAGGGAAGCAAGGGCAGAUGAAAAGAGGGUGGGAAGAGGUGAUGUUUUUCUUUUGACAUCAUAGUGUCGACACAUGUUGCUUUUGUAAAGUUUGAAGAGAAAUUGAUGAAGAGGGAAAGAAAGAGUUUGUCCGGCAUAAACUGUGAACAGAAGCAGAGGCAUGAUCCAUAUGGACAUGACACCGGGAGCAAGAUGGGUGACUCCCUCCGUUCUGAGUGUCGGAUGGGGUGGUGAGAUGUGGAGGAAGCAAGCUGCACUGCAGAGCUGACCCUUUGAGAAGAGACUUGUGGUUUCUUGGUGGGGAGGCUGCCUGCUCUGGGGUCAAGGCUCCUCUGUCAGUGGCGAUGACGGGAUACACGGAGCGCCAUACGCCCCCUGGGGAAGGCCAGGC
ensembl:lncRNA